rnacentral:tRNA from 1 species
AAGAUACUAGUAACAAAAAUUACACCACCUUGUCGAGGCGGAAUUGUGGGUUAAAGCCCCGCGUAUCUUA